rnacentral:lncRNA from 1 species
UGCCUUUGCCGAUUCUUUAUUCGUCCUACGCCGUCGUUUUCUCUCAUUCUUUUUCAGCCACUUCUCAUCCAUUACCUCCAACUCAAAUUCCCAUCCGGCCUCGAUCAUCGUCGAUCGUCAUCAGCACCGUGAAAUCAGUCAGGCGAACGGGACGGUGAGCAUGGAUGACGCGAACGCCGUCGAUGUCGCCGGAGUUCCGACUUCCACUCUCAAUCUUAUCGACCUCUCGAGCUCCGAUAUCCGACGGUCGGUGUCCCUGCUCAAACAGGUCUUCGAUUCUCCCGCCUUUUUCCGCUAUUUUCAGUUCGAUUUCCGGUGCAUGAAACCGAGGAAACCGAGGUUUUUUUGAGUCGAGAGGGACGCUGACGGAUGAAUCCAAUCCGUUGGCCUCAGGCGUGCUUGGAUUCCGGCUUUUUCUACGUGAUCAAUCAUGGAGUCAGCCAGGACUUGAUGGAGGAGGUGUUCGUCCAGAGCAGGCGGUUCUUCGGUCUGCCUUUGAGCGAGAAGAUGAAGCUGCUGAGGAACGAGAAGCACCGAGGCUACACUACUCUGUUCGAUCAGGUCCUCGCCGGCGUUCCGGUGAGGGGCGGCGGCGGGCGUCGGAGUUCCGGCGAGGGUGGACCGGCAGACGAGCGGAGCAGCGGGCAGCAGAGACCGGUGGAGCAGGGGCGCUCAAGCGAAGCAGUCGGCGUUCGGGCACCGGCGAGGGGGUGAGCAACGGCGUCGGGCAGCAGCUCCGGUGCGGCAGAUCGGGGACGGAGGUCGGCUGAGGCGCGGUGGGCUUCGUCGGGCUGAUGGAGCGGAUCGACGAGGCAGCAGCAGUUUCGCAGGGGCGACGGAGCUGAGCGCGGAUCGCGGGUCGUCGGGUCGCCGCGUCGACUGGCGGGGCCGCGGGAGCAGACGGGUCGCUGCGUCGACUGACGGAGCCGCGGGAGCAGAUGGAUUGUGGCGUCGACUGGACGUGGAGAAGCUCGGCGUCCAAGGGCGUCACGGGUCAGUCGGAGCGGGAGCAGGGGUGGCCGGCGGAAGUGCAGAGCAGCGGCGCGAGCUCGUGUGGAUCAGGGCAGAUCUGUUGGGCGUCGGAGAGCGCCGCGGUCGUCGGCGAAGGCUGAGGCGGAGCGACGAGACCGGUGGCGCAGCGCGACGGAGGCGCGGCGUCGGCGCGCGGCCGGUGCGGGCGCAAGGCCGGCACGAACAGGGCAGCUGCGGGAGGAAGAAGACGAUUCUCUCUCCUCUUUUUUUAUUAUUUUUUUUUCUCUCUCUCUCUCUCACGUCACUCACUGCCGCACGACGUGACUUUCUUCCCAAAAAAAAUUCAAAGAAAACCCUAGGAAAAGCCCCAAAACUUCCACACGUAUUUUGCCCUAAAAAAUUUCCGAAUUCCCCCUCCUUUGUCCGUACGCGAUCUCUUUUAUAGGCCAAAAAUUGGAUCUUCGUGAUAUAUUUUAUUUCUCAUUUUACUUGUGCAUAAUUCCCCUUAAUAUAUUGUUGCACCCCAAGUAAUAUUCUCUUUCGUAUUUUUCACAUAUUUCAUCCGAAAAUUUCCUUUAUGCUCGAGAAUAUGUCAUUUAGUGUAUAUUACAUGAAUAUGUGAAAAAUCUUGCCCUCACCAUCGGUCUAACAAAAUAACAUAAAUGUUUCUAAACUAUAUGUCAUGCGAUUUCUCUUUUUUGGGGUAAAAAUUAACCCAUUUUUGUUAAUGCAAAAAUUUAGGUGUCAACAUUGAUGUUUUGCCAGAUCUAGGUGAGGGUGAAGGAACGGGUAUUAUAAUUUUACAAUUUAAAGUCACCAUGACACGCACAAAGUUCACAUAAUUUUCUCCAUCAAACAUCAGCUUCAUUUCCAUGACAUAUUUCAUUUAAAUUAAUAAAUGAAAGGAUCACAAUUUUUUUUUUAAAUAUAUUACGAAUCUAGUUAGACCAAUUGAAAGUUGCGGGAAGAUAUUUCACAUCAAUCAAAUGUGAUUUAAUUGAAUUUAUUGAAAGUUCAAAUAUGACAUGAGGCAUGGAUAAAAUUUGACAGCUUAUUAGUAACAUCAUCUCUUCCAGCAAUAGGAAUUUUCCACGAGACACUUAAUAUUGCCCCUGUGAGAAGCUCACGACAAUUAUCACAAAACCUUUUGACAUUCGUGCUUUGGAGCAUUGAUCAAAGGUCCAUCUGUAUCCUCACAAAGUUGAAAGUAAGUGAAUGUGUAAACGUGAAGAAUGAGCCAUAGACAUGAUUGAGGGACAUGGUAUUGAACACUAAGAAAGGGUCGAAAUUAACGAACCAUCUAUUGAUGCAAUCAAAAGAGACUCUAUUCAUUAUGGAGAAGUUCAUCUUUUUAGCAUUUGUUGGUGUUUUGUUGGCUUCCCUAUUGAUGUUUUACUGGAUAUGGGCGAGGGCAAAGGAAUGGGUAGUAUCAUAAUUUUACAAUUUAAAGUCACCAUGACACGUACAAAGUCCACGUAAUUUUCUCCAUCAAACAUCAGCCUCAUUUCCAUUAGAUAUUUCAUUUAAAUUAAUAAAUGAAAAGAUGACAAAAAAACAUAUUAAAUAUAUUACGGAUCUAAUUAGACCAAUUGAAAGUUGUAGGAAGAUAUUUCACAUUAAUCAAAUGUGAUUUAAUUGAAUUAAUUGAAAGUUCAAAUAUGACAUGAAGUAUGGAUGAAUUUGGUAGACUAUAAGUAACCUUAUCUCUUUUGGCAGUAGGAACUUUCAAUUAGUCAACUUUCCACAAGACACUUGAUAUUGUCCGUGCGGGAAGGUCACGACAGUUAUCACAAAACCUUUUCACAUUCGUGCUUGGGAGCAUUGGUCAAAGGUCCAUUUAUACCCUCAAAAAGUUGAAAGUAAGUGUGAACGUGUAAAAGUGAAGAACAUGCCAUAGACGUGAUUGAGGGACAUUAGUCUUUCUUUACAUUGUUUUCUUUUUCUUUCUUAUGAUUGAGACAACCAUGUGGUAGGUUUUGGUAUUGAGCACUAAGAACAAGUUGAAAUUAGCAAACCGUCUAUUGAUGCAAUCAAAAGAGACUUUAUUCAUUAUGGAGAAGUUCAUCUUUUUAGCAUUUGUUGAUGUUCUAUUGGCUUUCCUAUUGAUGUUUCACCAGAUCUAGGCAAGGGCGAAGGAAUGGGUAUUAUAAUUUUACAAUUUAAAGUCACCAUGACUCGCAUAAAGUCCGGUAAUUUUCUCCAUCAAACAUCAACUUCAUUUCCAUGACAUAUUUCAUUUAAAUUAAUAAAUGAAAGGAUCACAAAAAACAUAUUAAAUAUAUCACGGAUCUAGUUAAACCAAUUGAAAGUUGUAAGAAGAUAUUUCACAUCAAUCAAAUGUGAUUUAAUUGACUUAAUUGAAAGUUCAAAUAUGACAUGAGGCAUGGAUAAAAUUUGAUAGAUUACUAGUAACAUUAUCUCUUCCAGCGAUAGGAACUUUCCGCGAGACACUUGAUAUUGCCCCUACGAGAAGGUCACGACAAUUAUCACAAAACCUUUUGACAUUCGUUCUUUGGAGCAUUGAUGAAAGGUCCAUUUGUAUCCUCACAAAGUUGAAAGUAAGUGUGAAUGUGUAAACGUGAAGAACGGGCUAUAGACAUGAUUGAGGGACAUCAUUUGAUAGUUAGUCUUUCUUUACAUUGUUUUCUUUUUCUUUUUUCUGAUUGAGACAACCAUUUGGUAGGUCUUGGUAUUGAACACUAAGAACAUAUCGAAAUUAGCGAACCAUCUAUUGAUGCAAUCAAAAGAGACUGUAUUUAUUAUGGAGAAGUUCAUCUUUUUAGCAUUUGUUGAUGUUCUGUUGGCUUCCCAAUUGAUGUUUUGCCGGAUAUGGGCACACACAAAGUUCGCGUAAUUUUCUCCAUAAAACAUCUCCAUUACAUAUUUCAUUUAAAUUAAUAAAUGAAAGGAUGACAAAAAAACAUAUUAAAUAUAUUACGGAUCUAAUUAGACCAAUUGAAAGUUGCAGGAGAUAUAUCGCAUUAAUCAAAUGUGAUUUAAUUGAAUUAAUUGAAAGUUCAAAUAUGACGUGAAGCAUGGAUAAAAUUUGAUAGACUACUAGUAAUAUUAUCUCUUUCCGGCCAAUGAGAACUUCUAAUUAGUCAACUUUCCACGAGACACUUGAUAUUGCCCCUACGGAAAGGUCAUGACAGUUGUCACAAAACCUUUUGAUAUUCGUGCUUUGGAGCAUUGGUCAAAGGUCCAUUUGUACCCUUACAAAGUUGAAAGUAAGUGUGAACGUGUAAACAUGAAGAACGGGCCAUAGACGUGAUUGAGGGACAUUAGUCUUUCUUUACAUUGUUUUCUUUUUCUUUCUUACGAUUGAGACAACCAUUUGGUAGGUUUUGGUAUUGAGCACUAAGAACAAGUCGAAAUUAGCGAACCGUCUAUUGAUGCAAUCAAAAGAGACUUUAUUCAUUAUGGAGAAGUUCAUCUUUUUAGCAUUUGUUGAUGCUCUAUUGGCUUUCCUAUUGAUGUUUCACUAGAUCUAGGCAAGGGCGAAGGAAUGGGUAUUAUAAUUUUACAAUUUAAAGUCACCAUGACUCGCACAAAGUCCGCGUAAUUUUCUCCAUCAAACAUCAGCUUCAUUUCCAUGACAUAUUUCAUUUAAAUUAAUAAAUGAAAGGAUCACAAAAAAACAUAUUAAAUAUAUCACGGAUCUAGUUAAACCAAUUGAAAGUUGUAGGAAGAUAUUUCACAUCAAUCAAAUGUGAUUUAAUUGACUUAAUUGAAAGUUCAAAUAUGACAUGAGGCAUGGAUAAAAUUUGAUAGAUUACUAGUAACAUUAUCUAUUCCAGCGGUAGGAACUUUCCGCAAGACACUUGAUAUUGCCCCUACGAGAAGGUCACAAUAAUUAUCACAAAACCUUUUGACAUUCGCUCUUUGGAGCAUUGAUGAAAGGUCCAUUUGUAUCCUCACAAAGUUGAAAGUAAGUGUGAAUGUGUAAACGUGAAGAACGGGCCAUAGACAUGAUUGAGGGACAUCAUUUGAUAGUUAGUCUUUCUUUACAUUGUUUUCUUUUUCUUUUUUCUGAUUGAGACAACCAUUUGGUAGGUUUUGGUGUUGAACGCUAAGAACAGGUCGAAAUUAGCAAACCGUUUGUUGAUGCAAUCAAAAGAGACUCUACUUAUUAUGGAGAAAUUAAUCUUUUUAGCAUUUGUUGAUGUUCUCUUGGCUUCCCAAUUGAUGUUUCGCCAAAUCUAGGUGAGGACAAAGGAACAGGUAUUGUAAUUUUACAAUUUAAAGUCAUCAGGACACGCACAAAGUCCGUGUAAUUUUCUCCAUCAAACAUCAACUUUAGAAAAUUGUUAUCCACGGCAUAUUUCAUUUAAAUUAAUAAAUGAAAGGAUGACAAAAAAAUUUAAAUAUAUUAUGGAUCCAAUAAGACCAAUUCAAAGUUGCGGGAAGGUAUUUCACAUUAAUAAAAAAUGAUUUAAUUGAAUUGAUUGAAAGUUCAAAAGGUCCAAAAGUUGGUGUGAAAGUAAGUGUGAACGUGAAGAGGGGGCCAUAGACAUCGUAGAGGGACAUCAUUUGAUGGUUAGUCUUUCUUUACAUUGUUUUCUUUUUCUUUUUUCUGAUUGAGACAAUCAUUUGGUAGGUUUUGGUGUUGACACAUGUCGAAAUUAGCGAACCGUCUAUUGAUGCAAUCAAAAGAGACUACUCGUUAUGGAGAAGUUUAUCUUUUUAGCAUUUGUUGAUGUUCUGUUGGCUCCCUUAUUGAUGUUUAAUUAGAUUUGGGCGAGGGCGAAGGAACAUAUUAUAAUUUUACAAUUUAAGGUCAUCAUGACAUGCAAAAAGUCCUUGUAAUUUUCUCCAUCAAACAUCAGCUUCACAAAAUUGUUAUCCAUGACAUAUUUCAUUUAAACUAAUAAAUGAAAGGAUGACAAAAAAAAAACAUAUUAAAUAUAUUACAUAUCUAAUUAGACCGAUUGAAAGUUGCGGGAAGAUAUUUCACAUUAAUCAAAAGUGGUUUAAUUGAAUUGAUUGAAAGUUCAAAUAUGACAUGAACAUUGGAUAAAGAUUUGAUAGACUACUAAUGACAUUAUCUCUUCUAGAAGUAGGAACUUUCAAUUAGUCAACUCCCCACAAGACACUUGAUAUUGCCUUUGCGAGAAAGUCACAACAGUUAUCACAAAGCCUUUUCACAUUCAUGCCUUGGAGCAUUGGUCCAAAGGUCCAUUUGCACACUCACAAAGUUAAAAGUAGGUGUGAAGGUGAAAAUGUAAAGAACAAGCCAUAGACGUGAUUGGGGGACAUCGUUUGAUAGUUAGUCUUUCUUUACAUUGUUUUUCCCCUAAUCAAGACAACCAUUUGAUAAGUUUUGGUAUUAAAUACUAAGAACAUGUCGAAAGUAGUGAACCAUCUAUUGAUGCAAUCAAAAGAGACUUGGUUCAUUAUGGAGAAAUUCAUCUUUUUAGCAUUUAUUGAUGUUUUGUUGGCUUCCAUAUUGAUGUUUCAACCUGUCAUCUGUUCUAGUAACUUCACUGAUCAAGAGGCUCUCCUCCACUUCAAAUCAACGAUGGAAGUCGACCCGACAAACACCAUCAAAGGUGGCAAUUGGACCAUGGAAGCAAAUUUCUGUGAAUGGAUUGGUGUCGUUUGCAGCAACCGCAGGCAGAGAGUCAUAGCUUUAGACCUCUCACACAUGGGUCUCCAGGGAAGGCUCUCUCCCUACCUUGGCAAUCUUUCUCUCUUGGCUUCUCUUGAUCUCCGCAACAACAGUUUUUAUGGCAUGAUUCUGAUAGAAAUUAGUCAUUUACGCCGCCUGAAAGAACUUAUACUCGAAUCGAACCAGUUCGAAGGGAAUAUUCCUCCUAUCUUAACCCAAUGCCAGAACCUCGAAGUCAUGUCACUUGCGACGAACAAACUAACGGGUGGUAUACCAAGAGAAUUUGGUGGCUUCCCUAAGUUGCAACAACUGAAUCUUAGCUCGAACGACUUACGGGGUCAAAUUCCAAGCUUCCUGGGCAACAUAACCACAUUGCGAGUCAUUAUACUGGCCAAUGCUACUCUCACAGGUUCAAUUCCUUCAGCACUUUUCAAUAGAUCACUCACGUGGGUCAAUUUGACGGAUAAUUAUCUCUCUGGAAGUCUUCCCUCCGAUCUUUGCUAUCACUGGCCUAACAUUCAGAUUCUUUCACUGCGUCAAAAUCAAUUUAGCGGCCUGCUACCAGAGACGCUAACCCAAUGCAAAGAGCUUAUCAUAUUGUGGUUGUCAUACAAUCAAUUUCAGGGAAGCAUUCCUCGAGAUAUAGGCAGCUUGCAAAAGCUGCAAAAGCUCUAUAUUGCUGUUAACAACUUGACUGGCACGAUUCCUCAAACCAUUGGUAACAUGUCGAGCUUGCACAACGUAGAAAUAGGAGCUAGCCCCAUUGAAGGGGAGAUUCCAAGCGAGAUUGGCAAUUUGGUCAAUUUGCAAACACUAGCCCUUUCGGAAAAUUUUCUAACCGGCGAAGUGCCUCAAGAGGUUUUUAAUAUUUCUUCGCUCAAGGUGCUUGAUUUGUCGGAAAAUUCCCUCUCUGGAAGCCUUCCCUCAGGUAGAGAUCUAAGCCUUUCAAAUUUGGAAGAACUAUAUCUAGCAAGCAAUGGCUUUGGCAGCAACAUCCCGCAAAGUUUCUCGAAUUUUUCAAACCUAAUCCUUUUGGAUGUCGAGGACAAUCAACUCAGCGGCUCCAUACCUACAGGUUUGGGCAACUUGAAGAACCUCGAAUCCCUUUCAAUUGGGUCUAAUCAGCUAACAGGAGAGACUUACGGUUCAGAGCUCGGUUUUCUCUCUGCUUUAUCUAAUUGUCCAUUGCUGCGAUACUUGAGGUUGGGAGGCAACCCGCUUCAUGGCUUCAUACCAGAAUCUAUCAAAAACUUCUCCAGUUCCCUACAAAUUCUAAGUGCUCCCAAUUGUCAAAUAAGAGGUCGUAUUCCCAAGGAAAUGGGAUUCUUGAAGAGAUUGAUAUUCAUAAGGUUGAGCAAUAAUUCUCUAGACUACAGUAUCCCAUCAUCGAUCGGAGGCCUUGAAAGGUUGCAAAGGCUAUAUCUUGAUAACAAUCUUCUCGAAGGACUGAUCCCCAGUGAGAUUUGCAACUUGACAGGUUUAGGAGAGUUGCUGCUCCAGCAAAACAGGAUAUCAGGAUCAAUCCCAAAUUGCAUUGAAAACCUUAGCAGCCUUCAAAAGUUUCUCAUAAGCUCGAAUAACAUGACAUCGGUUAUACCAGUUAGUCUGUGGGGCCUUCAAGAACUCAUCUUCCUAAAUCUGUCACUCAAUUCUUUCAAUGGAGGACUACCACUUGAAAUAGGGAAGAUGAGAGCUAUAGAGAGCAUCGAUCUUUCUUGGAACCGACUUACUGGUGCCAUACCGAGUUCCAUCCAAGAGUUUGAGAGCCUUGCUUCUCUCAACUUGUCAAGGAACUCGUUUCAAGGAUCGAUACCGCAAUCGAUCGGUCAUCUUAAAGGAUUGGAAUUCCUCGAUCUCUCCUACAAUGAGUUAUCAGGCACAAUACCUGAGUCCUUGGAAGCACUUGCAUAUCUACAAGUUUUGAACUUGUCCUUUAAUAAGCUAUCAGGAGAGAUUCCUAAUGGCGGGUCCUUUAAAAAUUUCUUGGCUCUCUCUUUCAUUGGAAAUGAAGCACUUUGUGGAAAUGCAAUUUUUCAAGUCGCACGUUGCAAACUAAAUGGGAGAUCAUCAAGGGACAAGCGGCUCCAUAUACUAUACAUUAUUGUGCCAAUUGCAUCAGCUAUAAUUUUAGUCCUUGUCAUUUGCUUGCUUAGAAAGCGUGGGAAUACUAGUGAAAAAGCUUCAAUUUCGAUGGUGAACUUGCCUAGAAUUAACCAUCCAAUGAUACCAUAUCAGGAGCUUUGUUUGGCCACUAACAACUUUAGCGAAAGCAAUUUGCUCGGAGCAGGAAGCUUUAGCUCUGUAUAUAAAGGGACUCUGGCCAACGGGACAGACAUUGCAGUCAAAGUACUAAAUCUCCAUAUCGAAGGUGCUCUGAAAAGUUUUGAUGCAGAAUGCAACGCUUUCCGUAUGAUCCGGCACCGCAAUCUCGUCAAGGUGAUAAGCUCUUGCACAAACGCCAAUCUGAGAGCUUUGGUGUUGCAAUACGUGCCUUGUGGGAGCUUGGAGAAGUGGCUGUACUCCAACAACUACAACUUGGAUCUCCAUCAGCGAGUGAAGAUAAUGGUCGAUGUCGCAACAGCGAUCGAGUAUCUCCACCAUGGCCAACUAGAACCCAUUGUGCACUGCGAUCUGAAGCCUAGCAAUAUUCUUCUAAAUGAGGACCUGGUUGCACAAGUUUGCGACUUUGGAAUUACCAAGAUUUUGGCUGAGAACAAGCUUGAAACACAAACCCGAACUCUCGGCACGAUUGGUUACAUUGCUCCAGGUACAUUUGUCGAAUAUUAGCUAAUUCAAGCCUUUGAUUGCCAAUAUAACAGUAUAAUGUAAUAGAGAUAUAUUAGCACUCAUUUGCCUCUUGAUCUUAUUACUUAUGUCCCAAAAAGAAAUAUAUCAAUCACCGAUGUUCUUAUGUCACAAACUAUGAUGCUUGCAGAGUAUGGUUCGGAAGGAAAAGUCUCGACAAGGGGAGAUGUCUAUAGCUUUGGCAUAUUGUUGUUGGAAGUGAUUAUUGGGAAGAAGCCAACCGGUGAAAUGUUCAAUGCGGAUAUCAACUUGAGGCAAUGGGUAGGUGCAGCAAUUCCGGAGAGAGUGCUUGACAUUGUGGAUAGCAAAAUCCUUUGCAUGAAACAUGAAGAUCUUACGCUUUCGAAAUUCAAUAGCAUAGUCUUAUUGAUACUAGAGUUAGGACUAGAAUGUUCAAAGGACUUGCCCGAGGAAAGAAUGGACAUGAAAAGUGCCGUGGUUAAGCUCAACAAGAUCAAGUUGUCACUUCCUUGACAAGAAAACAAGGCCAAGAGCAGCUUAGAGAAUUUCAACAUAGCACUUUAUAUUUUGUACUCAAUAAUUUCAUUUCUAUUGCAUUGUGUGUACGAUUCUGCAAGAUAGUUCCUAAUCUUCUUUUAAGCUUUUUGAAUAAGAGGAAAACAAUUCCAAAUGCGAUUAGAUCGACAAUUGAAAGUCUAACUCAUGUCCAACUUCAGAAGGUGUAGCAGCUGCCAUGUUCUCUACGCAAAAAGUUUUAUUUAAGAGUUGGUAGAUUUACCGGUGAGGAACAUUGUUUCCUUGAAGGUCGACAUCUUCUCGCGUCACACUAGGCACAUCACAUGAGCCUUGCAUGUCAAGUUGGGCAGGGCCAGGCCUUUUCGACUCGCACGCCAAGCCUUGGCCCGGUACCUAUUUGGGCCAAUUUUGACCCCUUUUCUGUUUUAAAAAUUUCCUUUUAAUUUUAUAAAAAAUACUUAUAAUUUAUUUUAAUCCAACAAAAGAUUAUUUUAACUUUUCCAUAUUAAAAUCGUAAAGGGAAAUCAGACUAAGUGGAACAUACAAUAGCUUGGCCUUAAAAAAGUAAAUAUAGUUAUCAUGCCCACAUUACACGCCUAUACGGUCAUCUUCAUUCCCUAUGCAACGUCAUGAUGGAUUAUCCUUUCAAUUGCACGGAGAAAUAAAAAAGUUGAAGGUCAUUUUCUAUUGUUAUAAUUCUUUUCCAAGAGGCAAACAUCAAGUAAUAUCUUCUUAUUCUUUCAAUGAUUAAAACAAACAUUUAUUCAAGGGCACUAUAGAAAUGAUGAAAUAUAAUAGGCCUUUUCUUUAUCUAUUAUCUCUUUCUUUGGCCUGUUUUCCAAUGUUCUCUCUCAAGUUUAAUUAUAUUAAAAUAUUAAAGUAAUACAUAACCGAGGGCUAAAUGAAAAUCAAAAAGUGAGAUAAACCCAUUUUUGACUUAAAUAUGUAGAUGAAGCGCAUUUUUUGUUUUGAUUGGCAAAAAAAAAAAAUUUAUACAAUACAAAGAGAGAAAAAUACUAAAAAAGUCAUAAAACUAUUGCAAUUGUGUCAAUUCAAUCGUAAACCUAUUUUUUUUUGUCAAUUAAGUCAUAAACCUUUUAUAAUUGUGCUAAUUUAGUCCAUCCGGCCAAAAUUGACUGGCAAGCACUGAUGUGGCUGCCGGCGAUAAUUUUUUAAGAAUAUUUUAUUAAUCUUUUUUUUUCCUCCUUCCUCUUCCCUCCUCCUCUUUCCUUCUUCCUUUGGCUACAACGACUGGACGGAGGGGAGGGCUGUUUAAUAUUGGACAGUCCAAGAUAGGAGUGUCAUCAGUUUGGUUGAUAUCUGACCCGAGUUGAAACACUAUAGAAUCGACCUAAGACCCAAAUGGCAUAUAAUCUUAGGAAUUGGCGACUUUUUAUUAGUUUCAUUUUUUUUCUUCCUUAACGAAGUGAACCCAAUGACAAAAAUUUUCAUUUAUAACUGUAAAAUAAAAUAAAUAAUAAAAAGUUCAGAGCAUGCAACCACAAUUCAUUGAUUCUCAAUUCUCGAUUCUACGAUCUGGUUUUGACCCAGAAAUUGGGAAUUGAACCGCACGGUACCAGUUUCAUUUUUUUUUUUUUGGAAUCGGAUAGAUAACUGCGGGAAACUCCAACUAGACUAGUUAUUAGGGCCGGUUCGGUGCGGUUCCUUGUUCUCCACUGAACCCAUGCCGUAGCAGAUGAAAAAUGCUUUGAAAUUUUCUGACUUUCCGUCAAAAGGGUAAGGCCGCACCAAAUAUCUUGGCUGACAUUUUUUUAGUAAUAGACGUCGUCGUUUUCUUCUUCUUUUCAAACCCCCCACUCCCUCCAGUCACCUGCAACUCAAAAUCCCGUCCGUCUUCGAUCAUCGUCAGUCGUCGUCAUCAUUGCUGCAAAAUCAGACGGGUGAACGGACGGCGAUCUCAGCAAGAGAGCAACGACCUGCCAGGCGGAGCGGCGUCGGCGAGCAUGAAGGAUGCGAAUGCCGUCGAAGUCACCGGAGUUCCGAUCUCGGUUCUCCACCACAUUGAUCUCUCGAAUUCGGUUCAACCCAAGGAACCUGUUUAGAUUGGUUCUUUUAGUAGAAUUGGCGAUUUUAACCUUGGACUAGGAACCAAGCUGAUCUGAAGCUGGUUCUAAGUUCGUUGAAUUGGAAAUCGUAUCGAUUCUCCUUAAAAUCAACCUUAAACCAAUCGGUCUAGAUUAAUUCAGUUCGAUUCCUGGGUUGAAUUGAUCUCAAUGCUCACCCCUAUUUGUAUCAACUCAUUUUACUGUUGCUUGCAUCACAUGACACAAAGCGUUAGUUAAAGUGUAGGAAUUUGUGCAUUUUUUGUACUUUGGUAGAAUGUAAUUGAUACGCUUCAUGGAGUUCAUAUUGUUCAAAAGUCUUUUAAUUUGAGAUAAGGCCUUGCUAGUCUGCAAGAGAUAAGGCCUUGCUAGUCUGCAAGAGCAACCGAAAAUGGAAUAGUUCUCCUAGUAAAAUAUCACAAGAGUAAAUUAAAAAGGAUAAAUAUACAUGUAAAUAUAAUUUUUUUAAAAUUUUUUUAAAUUUUAAAGUCUAUUUAUUUUGCAGAAAAUGGAUAAACUAAAAAAUAUUUUUUUAAAUGAUUAAUUAUAUCGAAUGGAAUAAUUAGUCAGCAAAAAUGCUUUAAAAUUUGUGGAAAGCAUUAAGAUCUGAUGGUCGCACCGAAUAUCUUUGCUGAUUCUUUAUUCGUCCCACACCGUCGUUUUUCCUCCUUUCCUCAGCCCCGUGUCCUCCAUCACCUGCAGCUCAAAUUCCCUUCCGGCCUCGAUCAUCGUCGGUCGUCGUCAUCACCAUGAAAUCAGUCAGGCGAACGGACGGCGAGCAUGGAUGACGCGAACACCAUCGACGUUGACAGAGUUCCGACUUCUGCUCUCAACCUUAUCGACCUCUCGAGCUCCGAUAUCCGACGAUCGGUGUCCCUCCUGAAACAGGUUUUUGAUUCUCUCGCCUUUUCUGCUCUUUUCAAUUCGAUUUCCGGUACAUAAAACCGAGGAAACCGAGGUGUUUUCGAGUCGAGAGGGACGCUAACGGAUGAAUCCAUCCGUUGGCCUCCGGCGUGCUUGGAUUCCGGCUUUUUCUACGUGAUCAAUCAUGGAGUCAGCCAGGACUUGAUGGAGGAGGUGUUCGUCCAGAGCAAGCGGUUCUUCGGUUUGCCUUGUGUUAUUCUUCUUUCACAAAGAUUUAAUUGAUGGUGGUCGUGUAGUGUGCCUCGCGCCUGCGCUAUCUGACUAUUCAGUUUCAGGAGUGAAAGAUAGAAAAUGAUAAGCAAAAUGCAGUUUCUAAAAAAAUCCGUCCCAUGGUGUAUGGCUUAGGGUCUUCCCUUUCAUAGGUUGAGGUCACCUAUAAUGAUCUAAAUGAGAUGUUAUGGGGAAAUCAAAUAAUAACCUAGAGGUCAAUUGACUAGAGAAAAUCAAAUUAUAGGUCCACUGGUUCAAUUAUACAUGUAGAAAGGUGAGCAUUCCUAUAUCGCCCUUUCAUACCAAAUUCUCUCAAGUUUUGAAAACUAAAAAAUCCUUUAUUUGCAUCAAGUGUAACCAUCACAUCAUGUGACGAUCAAGAAGUUGACUGCAUCGAAGCCAUUUGUUCGUGGCGGACUUGGUGCCUCCUAGAUGCCCAUCCCACAUGAUGAGUUGCCUAAAAAUCACUUUCCAUAAAGUGUGCAAACUGCCAUUCUUCUUGACCCUUGGUAACUUUGUGUGGAAAUAUCCGCCCCAUGUGAGAUAUUCUUAAGAGAGGGUCUCCUUAAUAUUGGAUAUCCAAGAUAGGAAUGUCAUCAGUUCGGUUGAUAUCCGACCUGAACGGAAACACUACAAAACCAACCUGAGACCCAAAUGGCAUACAACCUGAGUGAUCGGGUUAGGUUUCGAAGGUUUUUUUUUUUUUUUUUGGGUUGUAAAGAUUAUGUUAAACAUAUUUUUCAUAAUUCCUUAUGGGUCUACACAUGAAAUGAAUGCAAGACAAGGAACUUGCCACAUCCGAUAAGAAUGCCAAACUUAGCCCAAUUCGUUAGCAAAUUUAAGUACAUAUUAAUUCAACAUUGUCGAGAGAAAAAUAAAAUUUCUUACAAAGAUCACAAGGGGAAGAAAUAAAGCAAAUACAAACAAUCAACAAUUCUGUCUCAAUAGCAAACAAUCUAUCUUUGCUCGACUAAGAUCAUCCUGCAAGUAAGAAAUGAAGAAGACAACAAUCAUUAAGUGCCUAAUGCAAAAUAUGAAGAAGUAAAUUCUCAACUAAGGCACAACCCAGUGUUAUUGCCUCUGCUUGUUUCAGCCGUUUUCUCUUCACUCGUUCAAUGAGUGCACUUAAAAGAAAAGCCAAAUUGUUUCAAACAAUACAUACUAGCAUUUAAGGAUAAGUAAUUUCUGCAAGAACACAUUUCACUAAAUUGGUAUUAAAUUAGAACGUGCUUCAACAACUAAUAAAACGGAAAAAUCUUGCAAUUGGCCAUAAAAUUUAUAGUUUUAGUGACAUGCCUUGCAUGAACCUAGGCCCCCCAAAAGUAGUAUGGCGUGCUUCUCAAUUCAUCAAGCUGCAAAUAAAUAUCAAGAAAUGAUAGUAUAUAAAGGUUUGAGGGCAGAGCUCAUUCUACUCAUCCAUUCUUGAAAACAAAAGAGCCGGGUCUCUCAAGAUUUCAGGUACACUUGAUGACACUGCUUGGAAAUUUUAAUUAAAGUUUUAGCUAGUUAGGGCAUUCUCUUCCGAGAGGAACUGUGCAAUAUCUCAUUGACAGAAUUUCGAGUCGUUCUCAUCAAAAUACUAACAUAAGUAUCAAUAUAGGUUAAGAAAAAAAUUUAUAAUCCAUUUUGAAAGAGAUAGCAUGGGGUAAGGCUUCUCUCAUCUCGGAUAGCAGGCGAGAUGCUUAAAUCCUUGAACCCUUAACCACUUAGCCAACUACUUCGACUCAAUUUAGGUUUGACUUGAAAGUUUCUAAUUCGACCUUAACCAGCCGGAUUUCAUUCCUUAUUAUUUAGAAGUUAGAAUCUAAUUUGCAUACCUUGAAAUCUAAAAUUUAUUUGUCAAUCGGUUUUAUAGUUUAUUUGGGAAUUGGCAAAACUUUUUUUGUUUCAUUUUUUUCUUCCUCAAUGAAGUGAACCCAAUGACACAAAUUUUCAUUUAUUAAUGUAAAAUAAAAUAAAUAAUAAAAAGUUCAAUGUAACCACAAAUUAUGGAUUCCCGAUUCUCGAUUUGGUUCUGACCGAGAAAUUGGGAAUCAAACCGCACGGUAUCAGCUCCACUUUUUCUGGCAUUGGAUCGAUAACUGUGGGAAACUCGAAUCAGAUUAGUUUUUGCGGCCGGUUCGGUGCAGUUCCCUGUUCUACGCCGAACCCACGCCGUAGGCGAUGAAAUAUGCUUUAAAAUUUGCUGGCCUUCUGUCAAAAUGAUAAUGCCGCGUCAAAUAUCUUCGCUGAGGUUUUUUUAUUAAUAGACGCCGUCGUUUUCUUCUUCUUUUCAAACCCCCCCUACUCCCUCCACCAGCUACCGACAACUCAGAAUCCCGUCACCGUCAGCCGUCGUCAUCACCGCCGCGGAAUCAGACGGGUGAACGGACGGUGAUCUCAGCAAGCGAGCAACGACCUGCCAGGCGGAGCAGCGUCGGCGAGCAUGGACGACGCGAACGCCGUCGAAGUCGCCGGAGUUCCGACCUCGACUCUCAAUCGCAUCGAUCUCUCGGGUUCUGAUAUCCGGCAGUCGGUGUCUCUGCUCAAACAGGUCCUCGAUUCUCUCCAGUCUUUCCGAUGUUCCGAUUCGAUUGCCGGUACCGGAACCAGGGAAGCUAAGGUUUUUUGAUUCGUGACGAUGCUGGCGGAUUAAUUCGACCCGUUGGCCUCAGGCGUGCUUGGAUUCUGGCUUUUUCUACGUGAUCAAUCACGGAAUCGGCUAGGAUUUAAUGGAGGAGGUCUUCGUCCAGAGCAGGUGGUUCUUCGGCUUGCCCUUGAGCGAGAAGAUGAAGCUGUUGAGGAACGAGAAGCACAGAGGCCGCACUCCUCUGUUGGAUGAGGUCCUCGAUGCUGGGAAUCAGAUUCAGGGUUUGUGUCUGAUGAUUUCAUUUGUUCCGUUUUUUCGGUGUCAGAUUACUGAAGAUUUUGCUGCUUAAGGCAGAUUUAGAUGAAUAGCUGGUGAUUUUGAUAGCUUCCUGUAAUCAGCUGGUGGCUGAGUAGCAGCUCUUAGAAAAGGAAGAUACGAUAACUUAGUUAUUAUUCUUGGAACGAGUUGUUUGAAGUGCUAACACAAAGCCAUGAGCAAUACAACAAGGAUUUAAAUGAAACUUGUCAUUAUUUAUAUGGUUAUCAUUUUCUGAAGAUCAGUAGAAUAGUAAUGAUUCCAUGGACGUUUUCUAGGAGAUUAUAAGGAGGGAUACUACAUAGGAGUGGAAGUACCAGGGGAUGAUCCUGAUGCACAGAAGCCUCAUUUUGGACCAAACCUCUGGCCUUCUGAGGGUAACCAGUUGCUUAAUAUGAUAUCUGUGCAACUUCAAACCGUUGCUGGUGAUAUGUACUUAUUUUGGUCUCAAUGUUGUGUUUUCACUAGAGAUAUUGCCAAGAUGGAGGCAGACGAUGGAGAAAUUUAUAGUCAGGCAUUGUGAGUUUUUGCUAUAGAUGAUAAAGAGCCACGGGCAUUAAAUUUUGUUGUGGGUUGCAAGAUGUGAAAGAUUAUUUCAUCUGAGUAAAAGAUAAUACGGAGAUGUUCUGUAUCUCUGAUGGAAAUUCGGGGCUUUUCCAGUACCCCAAUGGUCACCAUCUUCCCCUUCCACUUGCAUCGUAUUGUGCCAAGUUCUUCUACUGCCCCAGGAGGUUUUUUGGAUCUGGUUAUAUCUCAAGAGUAAUGCCUAGAUGAUCUGUGUGGCAAGAUCAAGUGCAAUCUGUUGAUAUAAAAAAGUGAUGGUAGUUAAUCUUGGUUAUUUUUUUAUUUGUAAAUAUGCUCAUCAGAAAUGUGGCGAAAGUAGUUGCAAGGAUCAUUGCUCUAGCACUUGAUCUGGGGGCUGAUUUUUUUGACAAGCCAGAAAUACUCAGCAAGCCUAUUCCGAUCUUGCGCUUGUUGCACCAUGAAGGUAGAUUUUAUUUCAAUGAACUACAAAAUAAAGCCAACAAUUAUUUCUUCUCAUCCUCUUGAUAUUCCUUUAGGUCUAAUCUCAGAUCCCUCUAAAGGGAUAUAUGGAGCUGGGGCACAUUCGGACUUUGGGUUUAUUACCUUGUUGGCAACAGAUGAUGUCCCGGGUCUCCAAUUAUGAAUAUUCUCCUGUAAAACUGUUCGUGCAGACUCUAUGCAUGGUUAUAAUGCAGGGAACUUUUUAAACUUAUUCGGAUUUGCAAGAACAAGGAUGCUAAACCUCAGGCGUGGAAAUAUGUGCAACCUUUGAAAGGGUAAAGCCCAACAGAAGUUGAGAUGAAUAUGUUCGAGAUCUCAUAUUUAGAGUAACUUGGACACUUUUGGUGGAAGCCACCGUGUUAGGAUUUUAAUUCUAGUGAUUUGUGGAUUACAAAUUUAACUUGGAAUAACUUUGCUUUUAAUCUUGUACUUUUGAUUUAUUGGAGCAUGCACACGAUAACAUGUUUCCCCUUAUACGCAUUAUUGGAAGAUUGCUUCAUGCCGAUGUUGAGUGGGAUACUACCCCCAGACUAGUCACAACUUUUUGACAAACAUCAUUGUCUGUCUGACCCUUAUCUGCUACUAUAGUUCUUGUUCAUAUGAAGGCAGCGAUAUGCCAGUUUAGAGAGAAAGUAUUGUUGUCAGAUGGGUGAUAAAAAUGGGUUUCAAUUUAGAAACUUAGAGAGGUGCCCUCAUCCACUUCUCCUUUCCUAUCUGUGAUUUGCAUCUGUAUAAGUAUACAUAAUAACUUUGAUCAGUUUAAUCCUUUUGAUGCCUUGAUGAUGAUCCUCCCUUCCUCCCUCCCUCCCUCCCUCCCUCUCUCUGAAACACCCUCAGACACACUCACACGAUGGUUUUCUACCAUUCUUUCCUGAUUGAUCAUGUGCAGGUCCACGGUCAUAGAACUACCAAGCAUUAUACACAUUCUACAAUUAUUAGAACCUGUCUCACGAUAUAUGUCCAGUUGCAAGAAGUUUGAGAGGGAAAAAUUUCGGGAGAGAAUAUCUCAUUGCUCAAGCAUCUUUUUUAUUCCGCAUUACUUUUCAACAGAACAUAAAAAUCUCACAAUAAUCCUGAAAAGUAACAUUCUUCCAUGGCUAUUUGGUAUAGAGCGUUCAUAGUGAAUCUUGGUGAUAUGCUAGAACGAUGGAGCAAUUGUAUUUUCAGGUAAUAUGCUUUAAUAGAAGUCUAUCCAAAUAAAUUGGCAUGGGGAAAGCUUUGAAUACGAAGGUUGGAGAUUUUCUAAAGCGAGCUACUAUAGAUUGGUAACCUGUCCCAAACUCCACCAGAAUUUCCUCUGUAACCUCUUGGCUCUUGUUGACAUUAGUAGCCCAUUAGUAGUGCAAGAGCAUCUGCUCUUGACAUUGCCUCAUUACUGGCCGAGUUGCCAUGGGGAAAAAAGUCCAAGUUAAACACAGUUGUUGAAAUGGAAUUAUAUGUUGAUGACCUACAUCACUUUCUACACAAAGUCCACUUUAUAAAUGAUAAACCAGAAAAGAGUUAUCCUAGAGUUUUUGUUAUUAUUGUUCUUAUUGGUCAACUUUUCGAUACUAAUCCUUGUAAGUGUUCUGCGAUUGCUGACCAGAGAUAAGGCUUAACAUGCAAUGUCAUCAUGCUUGAGAAUGUGUAUAGUAAUAUAGGAAAUGAGCUUUUCGCAUUAAUUUUAUAGGUGUCCUGCAAUUCUCCAUAAUUAGCAAGGUCAUUCUCUAUUAUUUUUUUUAAGAAUUUGACUUGCUGAUUUUUUGCUUCUUUUUGUCAAAUUUAUACUAAUUUAUACUUUUGUUUUGCUUUUGCAAUCAGGUCCACACUCCAUCGAGUUGUAGGGAACGGUCAAGAACGGUAUUCUGUAAGGCCUUUUGGCUCUCUCCCCACGGCUGCGCAUUUCUUGUCUUCUUUUGGAAAAUUCAGCAAAAGCCAUCAAGAGAAAUUUGAAGCUUGUCGAGUCUAUUGAAAAAAGUCCGAUUGGUUGGGGUACUAGGAAGAGUAGAGUAUAAUUGAAGCCAAUCUAAGACAGUUGUAAGCUGAUUGGAAAGUGGUACUAGGUUUGAGAUCACGGUUUAGUGGCAAGUCAGUUUUUUUUUUUUUUUUGGUCAAAAUUGGCAAGUCAGUUGAGCAGGUGAUUAAACUCUUAGGGAAUUCCUCUCAACUCGAGAUUAUCUUCAGGGAUAUCCACAUUACUUUCUGGAAAAGAAGUCUAAUUGUUUGUCUUUCCCUUGUUUGCAUAUUUCAUCCACUAACUUCUCUUUUCUUGAUGAGUUUUUUUUUUUUUUUUUGGGCUAAAAUCUCUGUUAAAAGUAUUAUUUUUGCUCAUGUUCUCACGAAAUGUAGAUUGCUUUCUUCCUGGAGCCUAACCAUGAUUGUCUCGUCCAGUGUUUGCCAACAUGUAUGUCGGAAAAAUCCUCCCCAGUAAGCUGUCUUCCGUGGAUCAGUUUCUUGUAUAUCAUCAACAUGUCGCUAUUGUAUUUCAUGAUGUCAAAUCUCGGCCCUAAGAUCUAGUUCUUCUCCUCCCUGAUUCAAAUGACUGACUUUAUGCAUUUUGUUGAGUGUCGACGCUCUGCUUUGAACGUGAAUGUCGAAGUAAAUAUUGCAUGUCCAAGGAUGAUCCAAAUUCAUAUGCUUGGACUUUUUGUUUAUGUUAAGAGGACUCCCUCUAAGUUUUAACUCCAUGUUUCAUGAAGAAAAAUGUUUAUUCUGGAACUAGGCAUUGAGCUGUACCUUAUUUGAUCAAUUGAUACCAUCGUUGCAUGCUCAGAUGGGGUUGGAACCAUUUCGCGUGGGGAUCUAGGUGUUGUAUUUAUCAUAGCUACUCCAGUUAUUAAUUUUUAUUUGUUUUUUGAUCGAGAAUUCAGUAGUUAUUAGACAUGGUGCAAAUUAAUUUCUUCAAAAUUGAUUCACGUGCAGGUUUCCUCCCAUCGUAUGUCAUGCUGAUUUAGAUGUAUACAGAAAGGAAGGGGCUUAGAUGUAUACAGAAAGGAAGGGGCUUAGAGUUUGCCUGUGAGGAGCAGGAGCCUGUCAACCAGCACUUGUCCAGUAGAGGGUAUGCUUUGAGAGCUCGUAAAGAAGUGCAUGAUGAGCUUAGAGAAGAGCGUCGAAUUGGGUACAUGCGCGUACAUACAUAUGCAUGGAAGUAAUAGUUCAGUGGCUUCAGCCGUAGUUAGGUCUUCUUGCUUCCAUGAUUUGUCUCCUAAAUUAGCAGUUUGUACAUGCAACUCUUUAAGAAAGGAAAUAAAGAGGGGACGCCUUGCACAUUUCUUGGCACCAACUUUACUGCGAUUUAACGGACGAACAGUUGCUUCUUUACCAUAGUUUCGGUCGAUUGGAUUGUACAUGCAACUUUUGGCUAUUUAGCAAUAUUUUUGGAUGAGGUAGUCGUGUCGCUAAGCCCACAAAGGAUUUGAAUAUAUGACACGGGCUAAGAAGGAGAGAGCAGGCAUUUCUGUGUGAGUGAGACUAGGAGUAGCAUUAGCAAGGGCACAAUCUGAGAUUGUGAGCCGCUUUAGCUACUACGCUGGCUGCUACUUUCCAAAAAAUCUUUCUGAUCUUUCGCAAAGGUGGAUUAGACCAGUCCGAUCUCGAAGUCCUCCCGUGACGCGCUUGACUGGCUAACGCUUCCGCUACGUUAAACCACAGGAACAAGCAUUGGAAACAGAGCAUUAGACAAAGACUUGGCUACCUCUUUUGCUCUGUCCUCAAUGUAGGUGCAAAAUCUCCCGACGCCGAGUAGAAUAAUAGUGAGUUAAAUUAGCAGUUAACUAGUUAAUUAUACUCUUCUAGCUUUCUUGUAUUCUAUAGACUUAAUAGAUUAUGCAAGAGAUUGAAAUGGAAACAUGUAGUGGAAACGGAUGUUAUGACAUUAUUGCUCCGCCUAUUACACUCAAAAUCGUGACAAUCUCGAGUAGGUCUGUUUCAGUUUUCAAAUUUUUGAUAUUGGGAACUAAAUCAAUUGGUUAUGGAACCAGUUUUUCCUGGUCCUAGUGAUUCUUGGUUCUACUUGGAAAUUAGUCUGCUUUUUAUAUUGUGUAAAAAAACAAAUUCUUCCAAUAAAGUGUAGGAGUUCCACCUUUUCACUUCAUAGCAUAUUUGGUGAAAUAGAUAUGUGGUUGUUUAUUCAUGGUGAAAACCAUAAUUCAAUUUUCGAUUCAACCUGAGGAACCUGUUUAUGUCAAUUCUUGGGUAGAAUUGGCGAUAUUGACCUUGGAACUAAGAACCAAGCCAAUCUUAGGCUGGUUCUAAGUUUGUUGAAGUGGAAAUCGUACUGAUUUUCCUUAAAUUCAACCUUAAACUAGUUAGUCUAGACUAAUUCAAUACGUUCGUGGGUUGAAUCAGUCUUGAUGCUGACCCCUUUUUGUAUUGAUGCAUUUUAUAGUUGCAUUACAUAAAAUAGAGCAUUAAGACAACGACAUCUUAUCUAAUGAAUUAAAUAAGAGAUUUUAAAAUACUAAUUGUUGAUGUCCUUCAAAAAUCUUUUCAUUUGAGAUAAGACCUUACUAGUAUGUAAGAGCAAUGGAAUAGCUCUCCUAGAACCUGUGUUUUUUUUAACCACGCAAAAAUGAAGUAUCACAAGAGUAAAUUAAAAACAAUAAACAUGCAUGUAAAUAUAAAUAUUUUAAAGGUCUUUCCAAUUUUAAGAUCCAUUUAUUUCGUAUAAUAAAUUAAAAAAUAUUUUCUUAAAAAUGAUUAGUUAUACCGAAUGGAAUAAUUAGACAGAAAAAAUGCUUUAAAAUUUAUAGAAAGCAUUAAGACGGGGAACGAGGGCAUCACCGAUGGCCGCAUGCCUUUGCCGAUUCUUUAUUCGUCAUACGCCGUCGUUUUCUCUCGUUCUUUUUCAGCCACUUCUCAUCCAUCACCUGCAACUCAAAUUCCCGUCCGGCCUCGAUCAUCGUCGGUCGUCAUCAUCACCGUGAAAUCAGUCAGGCGAACGGGACGGCGAGCAUGGAUGACGCGAACGCCGUCGACGUCGCCGGAGUUCCGGCUUCAAGUCUCAAUCUUAUCGACC